GACAACGCCGGCGGCGUGCUACUAGCGUGCUAAUCGAACGAGUUUGCUUUUAACCUGAAGGCGGUGCUUGCACCAACUGAUUUAAAGAAGUAAACGAUGUGGCGGACGGGUGAGUAACACGGUGGGUAACCUACCCUAAAGUGGGGGAUAACAUUUGGAAACAGAUGCUAAUACCGCAUAAUAUUAAAAACCACAUGGUUUUUAAUUGACAAGACGUGCGUAAGCUGUCACUUUCUGGAUCGGACCCUGCGGCGUAUUAGCUAGUUGGUGAGGUAACGGCUCACCAAGGCGAUGAUACGUAGCCGACCUGAGAGGGUGAUCGGCCACAUUGGGACUGAGACACAGGCCCAAACUCCUACGGGAGGCAGCAGUAGGGAAUCUUCGGCAAUUGGACGAAAGUCUGACCGAGCAACGCCGCGUGAGUGAAGAAGGUUUACGGAUCGUAAAACUCUGUUGUUAGAGAAGAAC
rnacentral:rRNA from 1 species